rnacentral:lncRNA from 1 species
AAUAAGCUAUUUCUGCUUGGUUUAUAAGGACACUGAGAUAUCAGCAAAGUGUUAUGGGACCGAAGAAGAAGAAAAUAGAAGAAAGACAUCAAAGUCAAACUGGAAGUAGGACAGUUUGGAAAGCAUUUCCCAGAAGAGGUGAUACUGAGGAGAGACAAUGAGUGGCUCAUCCCCUGAACGGUGUGUGGAAUAAGGUGAAACAUGUAGCAAUCAAGAAACUGGACUCAUCCCCUGAACGGUGUGUGGAAUAAGGUGAAACACGUAGCAAUCAAGAACUGGACUCAUCCCCUGAACGGUGUGUGGAAUAAGGUGAAACAC